AUUGAACGCUGGCGGCAGGCCUAACACAUGCAAGUCGAGCGGAGGAAGGGAGCUUGCUCCUGGAUUCAGCGGCGGACGGGUGAGUAAUGCCUAGGAAUCUGCCUGGUAGUGGGGGAUAACGUCCGGAAACGGGCGCUAAUACCGCAUACGUCCUGAGGGAGAAAGUGGGGGAUCUUCGGACCUCACGCUAUCAGAUGAGCCUAGGUCGGAUUAGCUAGUUGGUGGGGUAAAGGCCUACCAAGGCGACGAUCCGUAACUGGUCUGAGAGGAUGAUCAGUCACACUGGAACUGAGACACGGUCCCGACUCCUACGGGAGGCAGCAGUGGGGAAUAUUGGACAAUGGGCGGAAGCCUGAUCCAGCCCUGCCGCGUGUGUUAAGAAGGUCUUCGGAUUGUAAAGCACUUUAAGUUGGGAGAAAGGGCAGUAAGUUAAUACCUUGCUGUUUUGACGUUACCAACAGAAUAAGCACCGGCUAACUUCGUG
rnacentral:rRNA from 1 species